rnacentral:lncRNA from 1 species
CGGAUGCUGGGGAAAGCUACUUGGAACAGUAGCUUUGAGAGUUUUAUUGCUGUGUUGGAGCUGCUCGAUGAUCAGCACGGAGAUAUGCUACGACAGUCCUUCUUGUGGCCACUGUACCAAUUGCGAGAGGUGCAGUACUCAGGACAGAUCAUUGAUGCACUUCUAUAUCAGCUUCUGAGGCCAAUCGACGGCGAUUCCCUCCAAUUCGACCUCGGGAGCAAAGUCGUUAGUUUCUCGAUGUUUGAGUUUACAUUGAUCACUUGACUGAGGAUUACGGGCGACGAUGCAGCCAUGGAGAGAAGCAAUAGGCUGUACGAGACGUACUUCCAGGGACAUGGGUUGGUGCUUCUACCCGACUUGAUGGUCGCGAUCAGGGGGUGAGACCAUAUGCUAGAUAGAUUGAAGCUUGGGCUGAUCUACAUCCUCGAGAGUGUGAUGAGGUGUCAUCAUAAGAAGACUUCCAUCGACAUUUUUCAUUUGCAAGUUGUUGAUGACAUCGAUGCGUUCAACAACUAUCCAUGGGGCCGAAGAUACUACGAAGACACCGUACAUGUGUUCACCAGAUCGCACUCGAGGCCCAGGGGGUCGAUGCGUAAAUACGAUACAUAUGGACUGCCCUUAGCGGUGCAGGUAAAUGUUUAAUAUAAUCAAAGUUAAAGUUUUAGUGUAUUACAUUGAUGCUUAAUAAGUGUAUGUAUUACAGAUUUGGGUCUAUGAGACAAUUCCUGUAUUGGGAGCCCGCUUUGCACAGCGAGGGGAGACACGCUGCCCUCGGAUGCAUUAUUGGAGAUCAUCGCGAGCGAAGGGAUGUCCCACUGGGAAGCAGUUAUCGACCCUCCUCGACGAUCCUC